UAGCAUAAUAAAUUGUUUUUUAAUUGGAAACUGGAAUGAAAGGUUAAACAAUUUUUAAGUUUAUAUAUUUUAAUUUAUGAAUUUUUAUUAUAAGUAAAAAUACUUAUAUUAUAUAAAGGGACGAUAAGACCCUAGAAGCUUUAGUUUAUUUAAUUGCAAAAUAGUUUUAUUUAAAAUUUGUUUGAUGUGAAACUUUGAUUGGGGAAAUAAUAAUUUUAUAAAUAAUUAUUAAUAAAAUAUAUAAGUUUUUUAAUGAUCUUUAAUAUAAGAAUGAAUAGUAUUAGUUACUCUAGGGAUAACAGCGUGAUAAUUUUGGAUAGACCUUAUAUAUAAAAUUGAUUACGACCUCGAUGUUGAAUUAAAAUAUCUUUAUAAAGUAGAAAUUAUGGAAGAAG
rnacentral:rRNA from 1 species